GCAUCGGCAUGAGAUUAAUUUGGCGAAUUUAGCAAUGAACAAGAUUCGAAAAUGCGCUUUUGAUGAGUUGAUUGACCCAUGUCUUGGGCAUCAGUCAAAUGAGGUAGUUAAAAGAAUGAUAACUACAAUUGCAGAGCUGGCCUUUCAAUGCUUGCAACAUGAUAAAGAAAUGAGACCUUCUAUGGAUGAGGUAUUGGAAGAACUACAAAGAACUGAACGUGGGGAAUACGAAUUAGAGAAUAUAGAGGACGGACAUAAUGAUAACGACGUCUCAAAGAGUGUGGAGCUGCAACCUUCACAACCAGAUUGUGAUGAUAUUGCAUUGCUAAAGAAUAUUCAGCCACCUUCUUCACCU
rnacentral:misc_RNA from 1 species